CAGAAAAUAUUAUAUAUAUAGUAUAAAAAUUUUGGAGAUUUUAGGAGAGAAAUCUUUUCUGAA
rnacentral:tRNA from 1 species